AAAAAAAAGAAAAGAAAGAAAAAAAAAAGAAAAAAAUAAAGAGAGAAACAAAAAAACUAUGUCAAACUUUAACCUUUGUUUCCACAAAAUUUAAUUAGAGUGAAUUAUUGUGACUCUACUCUGCAUUUUGGAUGUCAAUAGGCCCUUUCUAAAAAUUCCUCAGAGAUUUGGAUUUGCAAACUCACUCGGAGACUCAAUGUUUAUGUAGAUUUGUUUGACUGCAUGGUUUAAAAAUAGUGUAUCAUAAAUUUUGAUAAAAUCUCCAAAAUUACAAUCUCAAUUGGAAAAUGUAUUCUUUUGAUUGUUGUGCUGCCUAGUUGGGUGCACAAUUUGAUCUCUUUACAUUACUGUAGAUAAAAAAAACAAAAUAAAAUGCACAAUAACCUAUAAAAUCUAAAAUAACAUU
rnacentral:lncRNA from 1 species